AGAGCAUAGAGGUGAAAGUCCAGCAUCCAAGGAGAAGCUCAUUCAGAAAGCAAGAUGUAUUAUUUUACUUCCUGCACAGAUGACCAUCUCCUGAACUAAUGCUUGCAAUUUCAGUGCCACACUAAGGAUAUUCUUUGGUUUUAGGCAAGGACUAUUUGCUAUGAAUUAUGUGAUUAUUUUUUAUUUGUGCUACAGAUGAAAUAACGUAUUUCCAUCAGAAUUUAAACAGGUGUGAAGAUGCAAGAAAGACCCUGUGUCCUGAGCAGAGAAAUGGAAAACCAACUCAGCUGCAACGUCCCCGCCAUCCCACUUUUGCCUUUUGAGUUUCAAAACCAAAAACAAUGAUUUUAAGUUAAGGUGGAUCUCAAGUCAGGCCCCAUCCUGGCUCUGUGGUGUGUUGGAGAAGACAUGCACAUAACCUUGUAUUGCAGGAGCUACCUAUGGAUUUUCAUAGCGACACACAGCACUGUCUGGAGUCCCUGCAUUGCUGCAGGGCAGCACAGUGCAGUUAGACAGCACCUGGAGUCCUCUUGACAAGUUCGAUUGAUUGCAGCAGAAAUGAGAAGGAAAGCUGUAAACAAGCUGCCAUUGAUUGCUGGAGUGGCAUUGGCUUCACAGGGAACUUGAAGUAACAUCAGGUUUGGGAACUGCAGCCACACGAAAUAACAAAGAACAACGGAUGUCUGCAUUUCUGAAGGGUUUGGAUUGAACUUUUACAAGCAUUGGAUUGUGCAUCAGCCGUUGCAGAAGCACCAUUCCUCAUUUUCUGUGGAGAAAGAAACAGCAGCAUUUCAUGUUCACCUGGAUGUCACACCUGGAGCUGGGAUGCCCCAGUGCUACCAUCUCACAGUGCUCUGCCAAUGGGACUGCGGGCAGUGCAUGCUGCCAGCAGCUGCUCACAUUGCACGGAAGGAACCUUUGCACCUCAUGGGAGCACGGACAGGAGUGUGUCCCACUGUGUCCCUGCCUCCUGCCCAGCUGGGUCAGUGGUGCUUUGAAGCUGGUCCGUGUAUUGGUGGUAGCUGGGCUGCUCUCCUUGUGCUGCUGAAGACUGAUCCAGGCUCAUGUCCCUGCUCAUUGCAGGGGAGCUGGACUGGAUGGCUUUUAAAGGUUCUUUCCAACUCCAAGGAUUCCAUGAUUCUCUGAUUGAGUACUUGAUACAACACUGCUUCCCUGGGGUAAAGUUAAACUCAUUUGUUCCAACUUUCUCAUUAGCUUACAAAAGCACUUUUCUCUCAUUCAUUCACACCUAAAUAUUGCACUGCUGUCUUUACAGCUGCAGGAAUGCCCAUUGCCUCUCUGACCAUUGUCCCUGCUGACAGUGCCUGUGCCCCAUCUCCCCAGACACGGUCACGCUCUACCCCCUGGUGAAACAGAAGGGCACCCACCUCUGUGUGUGUGAGGGAGAGGGCUGUGACAAAUUUCAUUUGGAUGUGAUUCAAUGAAUAAAGUACGAGGCGAUGUGCCCAGAGUGACUCAUCUGUGUGCAUAGCUGCUGGCUCCAUGGGUCUGAUGGCCGAGGGCUUUCUUGGUGAGAUGAAGUGUGAAUGCCUCCUUAGGCACGAGGCAGUAACUGCCAUGCCCAGGGUGAGGAAGCCCACUUCUGCACAGCUGCUCAUGGGCCACAGCUGGACAGCUGUGUUGUUAAAGACACAGGAAGUCUUUUUCACUGUUCCUUUAGACAUGGGAACAGGCCACAAGCUGUCCCAGUUUCCCAUUGAAGGAAGAGCUGAGGUUUGGUGUGUGCCCAGUGGUGCCCGGUGGGAGCAGAGCUACACCAUUGGGCUGAGCCGCUUUGGGGAAUGGUGUUUAUUUUUCAUUUGGAGGGAUUUUUCCAUGUCUUCUACCCCAUGAUUAAAAGCACAGCCAGUUGCACAUCUGGUUUGCAAGGUCAGAUGCAGAACCAUCAAAAUAUUACAAGAAAGACUAUUGCAAGGUUUUAAAUUUUCCCCUGCCAAAGCUGAUAUUGGAAGGAAUACUUCAUGAAAGCCCCCUCGUGUGACAUUUCUAGCUAGAAUCAGAGAUCAAAGACCUAUUCCAUUUUCAGACUCAGGUCUUGCAUUAAAAUGUUAACCUUUUUUUUAAUGUUUCACCAUUGUAUUUGAAAUCUGGUAUAGGAGUUCAGCCGGCACAGAACAUUUCUUAGUAAGAUAUUGUAGGAAACGAUUGAUUUUUUUCUGCAGAGAAGUUCAGCUUGUAUUAGUGAGCUGCUGGGUCAUUUGGCAAAGAAAGUUCUGGGAAAAUGACAGGUCAGAAGAACUGAUGAAGCCUGGAAAGGCACGAAGCGCAGCAGCUCCUGUUCACGGGCAACUGGAAGUGAGAAGAAUUUCUUGUAUGCCUCACUGUUAUUAAAAUAUCAAGUAUCCUUAGCUGCCAAU
ensembl:lncRNA